AGAGUUUGAUCCUGGCUCAGAUUGAACGCUGGCGGCAUGCCUUACACAUGCAAGUCGAACGGUAACGCGGGGCAACCUGGCGACGAGUGGCGAACGGGUGAGUAAUACAUCGGAACGUGCCCAGUAGUGGGGGAUAGCCCGGCGAAAGCCGGAUUAAUACCGCAUACGACCUACGGGUGAAAGCAGGGGAUCGCAAGGCCUUGCGCUAUUGGAGCGGCCGAUGUCAGAUUAGGUUGUUGGUGGGGUAAAAGCCCACCAAGCCGACGAUCUGUAGCUGGUCUGAGAGGACGACCAGCCACACUGGGACUGAGACACGGCCCAGACUCCUACGGGAGGCAGCAGUGGGGAAUUUUGGACAAUGGGCGCAAGCCUGAUCCAGCCAUGCCGCGUGCGGGAAGAAGGCCUUCGGGUUGUAAACCGCUUUUGUCAGGGAAGAAACGCUCCGGGCUAAUACCCUGGGGUAAUGACGGUACCUGAAGAAUAAGCACCGGCUAACUACGUGCCAGCAGCCGCGGUAAU
rnacentral:rRNA from 1 species